rnacentral:rRNA from 1 species
UACAGAGACUGCAAGCGUUAUUCGGAUUCACUGGGCGUAAAGGGUGCGCAGGCGGCCGAGUGUGUGAGGCGUGAAAGCCCGGGGCUUAACCCCGGAAUUGCACCUCAAACUACACGGCUAGAGCAUUGGAGAGGGUAGCAGAAUUCAUGGUGUAGCAGUGAAAUGCGUAGAUAUCAUGAGGAAUACCAGAGGCGAAGGCGGCUACCUGGACAAUUGCUGACGCUCAGGCACGAAAGCGUGGGGAUCAAACAGG